CCCUUAGAGUUUGAUCCUGGCUCAGAACGAACGCUGGCGGCGUGCUUAACACAUGCAAGUCGAACGAGGUCUUCGGACCGAGUGGCGGACGGGUGAGUACAACAUAGGUAACCUGCCCUUUAGUGGGGGAUACCCAGCCGAAAGGUUGGCUAAUACCGCAUAUUAUCCCGGGUUGAAAUAUCCGGGAUGAAAGAUUUAUCGCUAAAGGAUGGGCCUGUGGUCGAUUAGCUUGUUGGUGGGGUAAAGGCCUACCAAGGCGACGAUCGAUAGCUGGUCUGAGAGGAUGAUCAGCCACACUGGGACUGAGACACGGCCCAGACUCCUACGGGAGGCAGCAGUGGGGAAUUUUCCGCAAUGGGCGAAAGCCUGACGGAGCGACGCCGCGUGGAGGAUGAAGGAUUUCGGUCUGUAAACUCCUGUCAGGGGGGACGAAUCAACUGACGGUACCCCCAAAGGAAGCAUCGGCUAACUACGUGCCAGCAGCCGCGGUAAGACGUAGGAUGCGAGCGUUGUUCGGAUUUAUUGGGCGUAAAGCGUACGUAGGCGGCUUUUUAAGUCUGGUGUUAAAGCUAGGGGCUCAACCCCUGUGUUGCACUGGAAACUGGGAAGCUUGAGUGUGG
rnacentral:rRNA from 1 species